GCGCCAGUGGCGCAAUGGAUAACGCGUCUGACUACGGAUCAGAAGACUCCAGGUUCGACUCCUGGCUGGCUCG
rnacentral:tRNA from 1 species